AGUAGCGGACGGGUGAGUAACACGUAAGAAUUUACCUUUAGGAGGGGGAUACCAAAUGGAAACGUUUGCUAAUACCCCAUAUGCUUUUGAGUGAAAUGGAUUUUUCCGCCUAGAGAGAAGCUUGCGGCUGAUUAGCUUGUUGGUGAGGUAAUGGCUUACCAAGGCGACGAUCAGUAGCUGGUCUGAGAGGAUGAUCAGCCACACUGGGACUGAGACACGGCCCAGACUCCUACGGGAGGCAGCAGUGGAGAAUUUUCCGCAAUGGGCGAAAGCCUGACGGAGCAACGCCGCGUGCGGGAAGACGGCCUGUGGGUUGUAAACCGCUUUUCUCUGGGAAGAAUAAGUUGACGGUACCAGAGGAAUCAGCAUCGGCUAACUCCGUGCCAGCAGCCGCGGUAAUACGGAGGAUGCAAGCGUUAUCCGGAAUUAUUGGGCGUAAAGCGUCCGCAGGCGGCUUAUCAAGUCUGCUGUUAAAGGUCGGGGCUCAACUCCGGUUAGGCAGUGGAAACUGAUAGGCUAGAGUGUGGUAGGGGUAGAGGGAAUUCCCAGUGUAGCGGUGAAAUGCGUAGAUAUUGGGAAGAACACCAGUGGCGAAGGCGCUCUACUGGGCCACAACUGACGCUGAGGGACGAAAGCUAGGGGAGCGAAAGGGAUUAGAUACCCCUGUAGUCCUAGCUGUAAACGAUGGACACUAGGUGUU
rnacentral:rRNA from 1 species